rnacentral:rRNA from 1 species
CGUAGGGUGCGAGCGUUAAUCGGAAUUACUGGGCGUAAAGCGUGCGCAGGCGGUUUUGUAAGCCAGAUGUGAAAUCCCCGGGCUUAACCUGGGAAUGGCAUUUGGGACUGCAAGGCUUGAGUGCGGCAGAGGAGACUGGAAUUCCUGGUGUAGCAGUGAAAUGCGUAGAUAUCAGGAGGAAUACCGAUGGCGAAGGCAGGUCUCUGGGCUGACACUGACGCUCAUGCACGAAAGCGUGGGGAGCAAACAGGAUUAGAUACCCUGGUAGUCCACGCCCUAAACGAUGGCGACUGGUUGUUGGGGGUUUGACACUCUCAGUAACGAAGCUAACGCGUGAAGUCGACCGCCUGGGGAGUACGGCCGCAAGGUUA